rnacentral:misc_RNA from 1 species
AAGUCGUAACAAGGUUUCCGUAGGUGAACCUGCGGAAGGAUCAUUAAUGAGUUGUGAUGGGGUUUGAUGCUGGCAGCCAAUUUUUGGAUGCAUGUGCUUGCCCUAACAAUCAUCUUCCGAACACCUGUGCACAUUUUUGAGGGAGUUUCGAGUUUUAUUGCCGUUUUUGGUGAUUUUCUUGUAUUCCCUUGAAUUAUUAUACGCUGUUAACAAUGAUGAACGUGCUCUGUGCCGCAAGGCCAUUAAUAUAAUACAACUUUUAACAACGGAUCUCUUGGCUCUCGCAUCGAUGAAGAACGCAGCGAAAUGCGAUAAGUAAUGUGAAUUGCAGAAUUCAGUGAAUCAUCGAAUCUUUGAACGCACCUUGCGCUCCCUGGUAUUCCGGGGAGCACGCCUGUUCGAGUGUCGCGAAAUUUCUCAAGCUUGGAUGGCCUUUUUGUCUGUCCUUAGCCUUGGUUGUUGGGCUUUGCCGUGUCCUUUGUUGGGACGGCUGGCCUUAAAAGCAUUAGCUGAUCCUCGUGUGGCACUGGUUCUACUCAGCGUGAUAACAGUCUGAUCGCUGAGGACAUCUUUUGGGAUGGCCAGUUCUCAUUUGGGUUGCUUCCAAACUUGGUUUUGCAGAUUCUUCAAUCUGUGUUCCACUUUUCAGCUUUGACCUCGAAUCAGGUGGGACUACCCGCUGAACUUAAGCAUAUCAAUAAGCGGAGGAAAAGAAACUAACAAGGAUUCCCCUAGUAACGGCGAGUGAAGCGGGAAGAGCUCAAAUUUAAAAUCUGGCAUCUUUGGUUGUCCGAAUUGUA